rnacentral:lncRNA from 1 species
CUCUAGUCGGCCUCUGGAGGUCUGCAGCUGGGUUAUUUUACCUUUGAAACGGACGACACCUGCCCCGUGCACCCCAGCGGCUCCUCCACACGGAGAGAUGGUGUCAGUCAAAGGCCGUCUAGAUGACGAGUUUAUGAAAUUGUUCCUGGCCCGUGCCGGGCACGACCUUGCAGAGAGCCCAGAAGAUGAAACCCCAGCCCUGCCAGGAGCUCACCUGCUAAUUAGGAGGACAACGAAUCACCUCACCUCCCUAGACUUUGCUUCUCCUUUAUUCAGUGAGGGAUUGGACUAGCUGGUCCUUGAGGACUUUUCAGAAAGUCUGGUUCUGGGAGAUGACCAAUGGGAUCAUCUUAUGCUAUGAGCUUUCCUGGAAUGACAGGUAAUGGAGAGUGAGGAGAUUUUACCUGAUAUGGUCCUGUUUGCACCAUCAGCCAGCAACCUUUCUGGGAAGCGUGCUUAUUAUGUACCAACAUAAAAGCUUGAAUAUAAGAAAUGAAGAAGGUGAGCUGGGGGAUGCAGCUGGGACUCAGAAGACUGCACGUGAUAGACUCAUGAGCUGAAGAUCUCGUGCUUAGUCUGGAGAAGCUCAUCAAGUCUAGCUCACUUUGGAGUAAGUUGGUGCUGGAGAAUGAAUUCAUGCUAACCAAAUUCACCAAGAGCCUGAUUUACAAAUGAGAGAGCCAAGGCCUUAAGUUUAGAGCAAAAGACAAACUUCCAAUGACUUUAGUUUUCUUGUCCAAUAUCUAGGGCACCUUCCCCUCUCCACCUGCUGUGUACACAGGAGAAAUAAUCACUCCACACCCGACUGAACAUUUUCUAACCUUAUCACUGUGGCAGAAACUGGCUACUCUUCCUCCUGGGUAGACAGCCAGGCUGUAUUUCCCCGCUGCCCCUGCAGUGAGAGGUAGCCAUUGGAGCCGGCGCAGGCCAAUGGACUCUGCACUGGAGUGACACAUGCUGCUUCCAGGCCUGUCCCUCAAACCUCCCACAUGUCCUCUGUCUGCUCUUCUCACUUCCAAGGAGUGUGACCAUCGUGGAAGCCCCAGGUUAGCAAUGGCAGAUUGGGAGGCAUCGAUGGGAGGAACCUGGGUCCCUGACUUAAA